rnacentral:rRNA from 1 species
GACGAACGCUGGCGGCGUGCUUAACACAUGCAAGUCGAGCGGUAAGGCCCUUUCGGGGGUACACGAGCGGCGAACGGGUGAGUAACACGUGGGUGACCUGCCCUCAGCUCUGGGAUAAGCCUGGGAAACCGGGUCUAAUACUGGAUAUGACUCCAUGACGCAUGUUGUGGGGUGGAAAGCCUUGUGCGGCUGAGGAUGGGCCCGCGGCCUAUCAGCUUGUUGGUGGGGUGAGGCCUACCAAGGCGACGACGGGUAGCCGGCCUGAGAGGGCGACCGGCCACACUGGGACUGAGACACGGCCCAGACUCCUACGGGAGGCAGCAGUGGGGAAUAUUGGACAAUGGGGGCAACCCUGAUCCAGCGACGCCGCGUGGGUGAAGAAGGCCUGCGGGUUGUAAAGCCCUUUCGGUGGGAAGAAAAGUCUCGACCUAAUACGUCGGGACCUUGACGUAACCCACUAAAGAAGCACCGGCUAACUCUGUGCCAGCAGCCG